AGUCGAGCGGUAACAGGUGUAGCAAUACAUGCUGACGAGCGGCGAACGGGUGAGUAAUGCUUCGGAAUCUACCUUAUGGUGGGGAAUAACUAGCCGAAAGGUUAGCUAAUACCGCAUACGUCCUACGGGAGAAAGCAGGGGAUCGCAAGACCUUGCGCCAAAAGAUGAGCCGAAGUCGGAUUAGCUAGUUGGUAGGGUAACGGCCUACCAAGGCGACGAUCCGUAGCUGGUCUGAGAGGACGACCAGCCACACUGGGACUGAGACACGGCCCAGACUCCUACGGGAGGCAGCAGUGGGGAAUAUUGGACAAUGGGGGAAACCCUGAUCCAGCGACGCCGCGUGUGUGAAGAAGGCCUGCGGGUUGUAAAGCACUUUUAGUGGGGAUGAAAUGUGCAGGGCUAACACCUCUGCAUUUUGACCUAACCCACAGAAAAAGCACCGGCUAACUCUGUGCCAGCAGCCGCGGUAAUACAGAGGGUGCAAGCGUUAAUCGGAAUUACUGGGCGUAAAGCGUGCGUAGACGGUUACAUAGGUCGGGUGUGAAAGCCCCGGGCUCAACCUGGGAAUUGCAUUCGAGACUGCGUAGCUAGGGUGCGGAAGAGGGAAGCGGAAUUUCCGGUGUAGCGGUGAAAUGCGUAGAUAUCGGAAGGAACACCAGUGGCGAAAGCGGCUUCCUGGUCCAGCACCGACGUUCAGGCACGAAAGCGUGGGGAGCAAACAGGAUUAGAUACCCUG
rnacentral:rRNA from 1 species